rnacentral:tRNA from 1 species
GAUGUCGCCAAGCGGUAAGGCAUCAGACUUUGACUCUGACAUUCGUCGGUUCGAAUCCGGCCAUC